rnacentral:miRNA from 1 species
AUACUCUUAUAGGACACUUGUUAA